GACGGAAGGUGCAAGCGUUGUUCGGAAUCACUGGGCGUAAAGGGCGCGUAGGCGGCCUGACAAGUGGAAGGUGAAAUCCCUCGGCUUAACCGAGGAACUGCCCUCCAAACUGUCUGGCUUGAGACCGGGAGAGGUGAGUGGAAUUCCCAGUGUAGCGGUGAAAUGCGUAGAUAUUGGGAGGAACACCAGUGGCGAAGGCGGCUCACUGGACCGGUUCUGACGCUGAGGCGCGAAAGCGUGGGGAGCAAACAGG
rnacentral:rRNA from 1 species